rnacentral:rRNA from 1 species
UACGAAGGGGGCUAGCGUUGUUCGGAAUUACUGGGCGUAAAGCGCACGUAGGCGGAAUGUUAAGUCAGGGGUGAAAUCCCGGGGCUCAACCCCGGAACUGCCUUUGAUACUGGCAUUCUCGAGUCCGGAAGAGGUGAGUGGAAUUCCGGAGUUGUAGAGGUGAAAUUCGAUAGAUAUUCGGAGGAACACCAGUGGCGAAGGCGGCUCACUGGUCCGGUACUGACGCUGAGGUGCGAAAGCGUGGGGAGCAAACAGGG